rnacentral:rRNA from 1 species
CAGUAGCCGCGGUAAUACGGAGGGUGCAAGCGUUAAUCGGAAUUACUGGGCGUAAAGCGUGCGUAGGCGGCUUUUUAAGUCGGAUGUGAAAUCCCUGAGCUUAACUUAGGAAUUGCAUUCGAUACUGGGAAGCUAGAGUAUGGGAGAGGAUGGUAGAAUUCCAGGUGUAGCGGUGAAAUGCGUAGAGAUCUGGAGGAAUACCGAUGGCGAAGGCAGCCAUCUGGCCUAAUACUGACGCUGAGGUACGAAAGCAUGGGGAGCAAACAGGAUUAGAUACCCCUGUAGUCCCUGUCUCUUAUAA